AACGAACGCUGGCGGCAGGCUUAACACAUGCAAGUCGAGCGCCCCGCAGGGGGAGCGGCAGACGGGUGAGUAACACGUGGGAAUCUACCCAUCUCUACGGAAUAACGCAUGGAAACGUGUGCUAAUACCGUAUACGUCCUUCGGGAGAAAGAUUUAUCGGAGAUGGAUGAGCCCGCGUUGGAUUAGCUAGUUGGUGGGGUAAAGGCCUACCAAGGCGACGAUCCAUAGCUGGUCUGAGAGGAUGAUCAGCCACACUGGGACUGAGACACGGCCCAGACUCCUACGGGACGCAGCAGUGGGGAAUAUUGGACAAUGGGCGCAAGCCUGAUCCAGCCAUGCCGCGUGAGUGAUGAAGCCCCUAGGGUUGUAAAGCUCUUUCACCGGUGAAGAUAAUGACGGUAACCGGAGAAGAAGCCCCGGCUAACUUCGUGCCAGCCGCCGCCGUAACAC
rnacentral:rRNA from 1 species